rnacentral:RNase_P_RNA from 1 species
CAGGGUUGGUACUUAGCUAACGGUUCCACGUGACGUUAAAUUUUCGCAAGAAAAUUUAUGGCGUUUCACUUGUUUGAACUGAGGAAAGUCCGCCCACUGAAGCCUUUGAUUCGCGGUUAAACUCCGAAAUCAUGGUGGAGCAGUCACUUACGGGAGUAAGAUUCAGAAAUGGAUGGCAACCGCUCAGAAACGAUACCACCUUUUAGGAGGAUGAUGUGAGAGAAGUUCUUGGCAACAAGAAUGAGUUAACCCACUGACGUUCUAAAAGGAAAGGAUGAAACGGCGAGCCCUGACUUGUGCAAGUCAAAUUUUACAUGACGCAUAGUCGAAUGCUAAGACAACCUAUCGACAAAAUCAUCUAGAUUUUGUUUUGGGGUUGACAAAAGGCGGCUUAUUCCAAUCCUG